ACUUUUUGUUACCGUUUUGCUAUUUUGAAAACGGAGAGAAGAGCACACUAUGCUAAAAAAAACUGGCAGUUGAGGGAAAAAUGAAAAAAUGGAAAUCAGAAGAGACGUGACUAUGUAGAUAUUUGGAGCUUUUUGACGCCAAAAAAUGCGAUUAUACUCUUAACU